CCGGAGGAAGUGGGGAUGACGUCAAAUCAUCAUGCCCUUAUGACCUGGGCUACACACGUGCUACAAUGGUUGGUACAACGAGUUGCGAGUCGGUGACGGCGAGCUAAUCUCUUAAAGCCAAUCUCAGUUCGGAUUGUAGGCUGCAACUCGCCUACAUGAAGUCGGAAUCGCUAGUAAUCGCGGAUCAGCACGCCGCGGUGAAUACCGUUCCCGGGCCUU
rnacentral:rRNA from 1 species